rnacentral:rRNA from 1 species
AUGUCUAAGCACAUGCCUUAAUACGGUGAAGCCGCGAAUAGCUCAUUACAACAGCCAUCGUUUACUAGAAAAUAUUUAUCCUACUUGGAUAACUGUGGCAAUUCUAGAGCUAAUACAUGCAAAAAAGCUCAGACUGAAAGGAAUGAGCGCAUUUAUUAGAAUAAAAACCAAUCGGGUAUAAAAGCCCGCUGUUUGGUGAAUCUGAAUAACUUUGCUGAUCGCACGGUCUAGUACCGGCGACGUAUCUUUCAAGUGUCUGCCUUAUCAACUUUCGAUGGUAGGUUAUACGCCUACCAUGGUAGUAACGGGUAACGGAGAAUAAGGGUUCGACUCCGGAGAGGGAGCCUGAGAAACGGCUACCACAUCCAAGGAAGGCAGCAGGCGCGCAAAUUACCCACUUUCAGAACGGAGAGGUAGUGACGAAAAAUAACGAGACAGUCCUCUCUGAGGUCUGUCAUCGGAAUGGGUACAAUUUAAAUCCUUUAACGAGGAUCUAUUGGAGGGCAAGUCUGGUGCCAGCAGCCGCGGUAAUUCCAGCUCCAAUAGCGUAUAUUAAAGUUGUUGCGGUUAAAACGCUCGUAGUUGAAUCUGCGGCCUGGGAGAAUGGACCCCCGAAAGGGUGGUAACUGUUACUCCUAGCCUAAAUUUUUAGUCUACUCUAUGGUGCCUUUAACCGGGUGCUUAGAGUGACUGGAACGUUUACUUUGAAAAAAUUAGAGUGCUUAAAGCAGGCGAAUUUGCCUGAAUAAGGUGCAUGGAAUAAUGGAAUAGGACCUCGGUUCUAUUUUGUUGGUUUUCGGAGCCUGAGGUAAUGAUUAAGAGGAACAGACGGGGGCAUUCGUAUUCCGGCGCUAGAGGUGAAAUUCUUGGACCGCCGGAAGACGGACGACUGCGAAAGCAUUUGCCAAGAAUGUUUUCAUUAAUCAAGAACGAAAGUUAGAGGUUCGAAGGCGAUCAGAUACCGCCCUAGUUCUAACCGUAAACGAUGACAACCAGCGAUUAGUCGGCGUUAAUAUAUGACCCGACUAGCAGCUUCCGGGAAACCAAAGUUUUUCGUUUCCGGGGGAAGUAUGGUUGCAAAGCUGAAACUUAAAGGAAUUGACGGAAGGGCACCACCAGGAGUGGAGCCUGCGGCUUAAUUUGACUCAACACGGGAAAACUCACCCGGCCCGGACACCGUAAGGAUUGACAGACUGAGAGCUCUUUCUUAAUUCGGUGGGUGGUGGUGCAUGGCCGUUCUUAGUUGGUGGAGCGAUUUGUCUGGUUAAUUCCGAUAACGAACGAGACUCUGGCCUAUUAAAUAGCCGGUAUAUAUUGAAAAGUUUGCCGCGCUUCUUAGAGGGACAACCGGCGUCUAGCCGCGUGAAAUAGAGCAAUAACAGGUCUGUGAUGCCCUUAGAUGUCCGGGGCUGCACGCGCGCUACACUGAAAGAAUCAGUAUGCGCAUUCGCCUAGUUCGGAAGAACCGGGUAACCCUAGCAAAUUCUUUCGUGCUUGGGAUAGGGAAUUGCAAUUAUUUCCCUUGAACGAGGAAUUCCCAGUAAAUGCGGGUCAUAAGCUCGCGUUGAUUACGUCCCUGCCCUUUGUACACACCGCCCGUCGCUACUACCGAUUGGAUGACUUAGUGAGGUCUUAGGACCGAGGUGAUGGAGCUUUCAUUAGUUCUUUUGCUUUGGAAAUUUGAUCGAACUACGUUAUCUAGAGGAAGU